rnacentral:rRNA from 1 species
GUAGUAGACGCGAAACCGAGUGAUCUACCCAUGGGCAGGUUGAAGCUGUAGUAACAUACAGUGGAGGACCGAACCAGUUGACGUUGAAAAGUCUUUGGAUGACCUGUGGGUAGGGGUGAAAGGCCAAUCAAACUCGGAAAUAGCUCGUACUCCCCGAAAUGCAUUUAGGUGCAGCGUUGUGCUAAGUUUUAUAGAGGUAGAGCUACUGAUUGGAUGCGGGGGCUUCACCGCCUACCAAUUCCUGACAAACUCCGAAUGCUAUAAAAUGAUACACAGCAGUGAGGGCAUGGGUGCUAAGGUCCAUGUCCGAGAGGGAAAGAACCCAGACCAUCAGCUAAGGUCCCCAAAUAUAUACUAAGUUGAACUAACGAGGUUUGAUUGCAUUGACAGCUAGGAUGUUGGCUUGGAAGCAGCCAUUCAUUUAAAGAGUGCGUAACAGCUCACUAGUCGAGCGAUCGAGCAUGGAUAAUAAUCGGGCAUAAGUAUAUUACCGAAGCUAUGGAUUUACAACAUUAGUUGUGAGUGGUAGGGGAGCAUUGUAAUCAGCGUAGAAGGUGUACUGUAAGGUAUGCUGGAGUGAUUACAAAAGAAAAUGUAGGCAUAAGUAACGAUAAUGCGGGUGAGAAACCCGCACACCGAAAGACUAAGGUUUCCUCAGCGAUGCUAAUCAGCUGAGGGUUAGUCGGGACCUAAGGCGAACCCGAAAGGGGUAGUCGAUGGACAACGGGUUAAUAUUCCCGUACUACUUAUUAUUGUGAUGGGGUGACGAAGUAAUGAACCCACUGCGUACUGACGGAAUAGUACGUUGAACCAAGUAGGUAUAGGAUGUGUAGUUAAAUGCGCACGUCUUGCUGAAUUGGGAUAGUACCACGAAGCUUCGGUGGAGUGGAUAAUGUGGCUAAGGGCUUCCAAGAAAAACCUCUAAACUUCAGAUAAUAAGUACCCGUACCCUAAACCGACACAGGUAGUUGGGAUGAGAAUUCUAAGGUGCUCGAGAGAUUCAUGGCUAAGGAACUAGGCAAAAUAGACUCGUAACUUCGGGAGAAGAGUCGCCCCCACUUAAUUGUGGGGGCCGCAGUGAAAAGAUCCAGGCGACUGUUUAUCAAAAACAUAGGGCUUUGCUAAAUUGAAAGAUGACGUAUAAGGCCUGACACCUGCCCGGUGCUGGAAGGUUAAGUGGAGAUGUUAGCUUCGGCGAAGCAUUGAAAUGAAGCCCCAGUAAACGGCGGCCGUAACUAUAACGGUCCUAAGGUAGCGAAAUUCCUUGUCGGGUAAGUUCCGACCUGCACGAAUGGUGCAACGAUCUGGAUACUGUCUCAGCCAUGAGCUCGGUGAAAUUGAAGUAUCGGUGAAGAUGCCGAUUACCCGCUAUGGGACGAAAAGACCCCGUGAACCUUUACUAUAGCUUAGUAUUGACUUUGGAUAAGUAAUGUGUAGGAUAGGUGGGAGACUUCGAAGCAGCGUCGCUAGGCGUUGUGGAGUCGCCGUUGAAAUACCACCCUUUGCUUAUUUGAAGCCUAACUCCCUUAUGGGAGGACAGUGCUUGGUGGGUAGUUUGACUGGGGUGGUCGCCUCCAAAAGAGUAACGGAGGCUUCUAAAGGUACCCUCAGCACGCUUGGUAACCGUGCGUAGAGUGCAAUGGCAUAAGGGUGCUUGACUGAGAGACAUACACGUCGAUCAGGUUGGAAACAAGAGCAUAGUGAUCCGGUGGUUCCGCAUGGAAGGGCCAUCGCUCAAAGGAUAAAAGGUACUCCGGGGAUAACAGGCUGAUCUCCCCCAAGAGCUCAUAUCGACGGGGGGGUUUGGCACCUCGAUGUCGGCUCGUCACAUCCUGGGGCUGGAGAAGGUCCCAAGGGUUGGGCUGUUCGCCCAUUAAAGUGGCACGCGAGCUGGGUUCAGAACGUCGUGAGACAGUU